rnacentral:lncRNA from 1 species
AGGAAGGAAGGAAGGAAGGAAGGAAGGAAGGAAAUGUCCUGAAUUUCCAGAGUAAGGUAUUUUUCUUUCUCUACACUGAAUAUUAAUUCAGCACUCCAGGAAGAACCAGCAACUCUGGGUGCCUCAACAGCCUGACAGGGCCCUUACUCUAUUAACCAAAAAAAAACGCCAUUAAGGGAAGGAGAAGAGAGAUGAGCAAAACAAGAAGUAGAAAAAAUGGUAGAAAUACACCACCAAGGAAAUGCUAUCAUGUUACCUUGCUCCGCGGGAAUUUACUUAACCGUCUCCAUAGGAAUGGUCUGGCCCAGCUAUUAAAAGGUUCACACAGAAAAAAGAAAAGUUGGGAGACAAAAUUAGCUGAGUAGAGGCCAUGUCUGCUUUUGGAAGGGCUAUGGUCAACUCACAGUCCUGCUGAAUCUACAGAGAGAGAGAGAAACUAGACCCCAGGCUGAGUAGUCUGUAGUGAAUUUUGUAUGCAGCUCUCAACAAAAGAGCACUCAGACACCCUGGCACCAAAGAUAUGAACAAGAAAACGCUGAGAACAUAUAUCUGUUUAUCCGUCUGUGAUCCCAAAAGAACUCAUUUAGUAAAAGGUCUUGGACUCCAAAUGCAUCAGUCUGUUUCCUUCCUGAUGGUCCCUGCUACAUAUGUGGCCGCUUGGACAUCUGAAAGGAAAGGGGCCUGUGCUAUUCUGAUGUUCAUCCAGUAAACAACAAAUUGGUGCUUAAAAUGGGGAAGCGGGAAGCUCUUCCCAGAAGAAUCCAGAUUCCAGGAUCUAAGGGGGUCAUGUUGAUCCUAGAAGCAGCCACUGUGUGAGGAUCCUUCUGUCCAUGAGGCCACCAAAUCUAUUCUGCUCCUGGGGACCAGACAAGGUAGGGAGUCUCACAAGCCACAGUGGAGAAUGGGAUUGGAGUUGAUGGUGAGUGGAGGAAGAAAUCCCAGGCUUGGGCAUCGGGGGCUCACAACUCUGUCUGCUUCCAGCUCCUGGACCAGAGCAGCCCUUCCAUGCGAAAACUAAUGCUUCAACUUCACACACCCGGAGGUGCCUCCUGCCUGCCUUUACCCAAGUCUUCCACCUUUCAUCACCCCUAAACCUUUUGUACCGCUGUGCUCCUUUCACAGUGGGGCCUGGAUAGCCACUGCUUCUGAGGCCAUAGUCCCAAAAUACCAUACACCAAAAUGGGACUUCUUUGAAGACCCCCGGGAAAGUCUGUUUCAGUGACUUUUCCUCUAAACAGGGACUCCAGGGGAAGCUCCAAUCUUGGUUUGGGGGGCAUAGCUUCCAUGCUGUGCCUCUGUGCUGUCUGCCGGAAGAUUUUGAAGUGGAAAAGGACAGAGCUGUGUGGGUUGUGCACGGAGUGGUGUGGGUUCUGCUGGGUUGCUUUCUCUGAUCCUCAAAGACCUUUUUCCAUCCUACCUCCAAUCUGACCCAGCCUAGGGCACUCUGAAGUCAUGGAUUGAUCCUUUCUCUCCCACACAUAAAGCAGCUUCUUUCAUACUGAUAUUACCUAAGCAGCCUCUCACAAUUAGGCUUGGAAUGGAGGUUCAACAGCUUUGCUCUAGGGUGGCUUUGCUCUGGUAUUUUCACUGUAAUAGCUACAGAACCACUUAGGAACAUUUCAUAAACCCUGGAAAUUUAAAUUGGCUUUUCAGAGAUCCAUUAGCUCAUGAAAUCUUAGGUUGUGUCACUGUUGUGUGAGAACCCAUAGAAACGGGUAUGUAAAACAAGCCUCCAGCAACCACACGGUUCCUCACAGUGACUUCUCUAUAGCCAGGGGCCAACAGAUGUGACUAGCUAAAGUGAUUGGCUAAAGGAGGGGGCGUUGUCAUGGGAAACCAGGACAUCUCACUUGCAGCAUUUUCUUAACCCAGUGGGGAAAAAUGUUCCAGUUCUUAUUUUUCUGUUUGACAACAAGAUGCUCAGCUAUCUGGAAUUCAUCUGUGAAGAGUCCCACAGGAAUUUGGCAGUGACAUCAGAGCAAGGGAACUCAUUCUAAGUGAUUAAAAUGGAAAGUUGUGGCCGCAACUUUCUAAUAUCACCAAUUCACAACAGAUUUUCAGUCCUCCGUGGCUGAACCACCACUUAGCUUUUUAGGAAGGAGAGACACAAGGCUCAGCCAGAGGAAUUUGGAUCAUCUCACUACAAUCGUGUGUGAAGGCAGAGGGCACAGACAAAAGAGAAGAGAUGGGGCCGUCAAGGCAGGACCAGGGGAUCCAGAUGGCACAUCUUGUGGCAUGAUGCUCAUUCACGUCCAGCAGUGCCGCAGGGAGGAGGCAGAAAGACUCUGGGCCUCAGCCCCACAUCAGAGCCUUGCCAGAGCCAGUGUCACUGCAGCAACUGAGAUGGAGCAAGCCCUGAGUCUGGAACACAGGUUGUCCGAAAUUUGUCCAGGGGAGCCCCUUGAAGCAAAUCCUGUGUCAUUUUGACACACCUUCAGUUUUAAACACCUUAUGGUGGUAUUUAAAAUGAAAGAAAGAAAUCAAGGUUGAAAUGCUGAAGAAGGAAGAAGAGCCACAAAGGACAAGACAAGAGAAAGAUAGUUCUGAUGACAAUGAAACUCUUUUUAACUAAAACAGAACUCUUGUCUUCAGCCAGAGCUCUCUGUUGUCCACCGCUGGGACUUAGAUAUAUUCAGGAGCCACAGGGACAGGCCUGACAACAGGAAACAUACAUGGAAAGUCUCCUGGGAAGAACUCAAGAUUUUUCACCUGAUGGACUUUAAAGUAUUAAGGCAUGCCUGGCAAAUAGUCUAUUUUCAGAAGGGUGAAGGAAGGUAGGACUCAUCCUAAGGAAAGAGACAGUUGGGCACAAUGGAUUGGUCCUUGGUUGUUAAAGGAGAAUAGAAGUUAUUAAAAAUGAAAGUAUGGGGGAUACUACAGGAAUCCACCUCCAGCCAGCCCUGUAGGUGAGAGAGAGGUAACUGAGAGGAAUGGGAACUCUAGCUCAUGGAGGUUCAAGCAACACUGCUUUGGAACCCUUCUAGCAGAAGGCAACACACCGGGGAGACAGCUGCACUUCCCCUUGGCAGCACAGCUUGUUAUGGAAUGAAUGUUUGUGUCCCUAAAAUUCAUACACUGAAAUCCUAAUCCCCAAUGUGAUGGUAUUAGGAGGUGGGGCCUUUGGGUGGUAAAUAGGUCAUGUGGGUGGAGCCAUCACGAAUGGGAUUAAUGCCCUUAUAAAAGGGAUCCAGAGAGUUGUCCCUCUCGUCCUCGCUCUCGCUCUUGCUCUCUUCCUCCCAUGUGAAGACCCAAAGAGAAGUGAGCAGCCUGCAACCCAGGAGAGGGCCUGGCCUUGCCAGAACCUGGCCAUGCUGCACCCUGACCUCAGACUUCUAGACCUCCGAGCUGCGAGAAAUACACUUCUGUUGUUUAUAAACCAUCUAGUCUAUGGUAAUUAGUUAUAGCAGCCCUAAUGAGCUAAGACACAACCCCAUACAGCUUUGGUUUCCAGGGAAGCCACAGCAGAAUCUACUUUGGCUGGCAGAUCACUUGCACCUGGUGGAACAGUGCAGACACUACCAGAGAGGGCUUCUUUAUGAGAACCUUGGGACUGACCCACAGAAAUACAUGAAAUGGAAAAGAAGAUGAACUAUUUAGAUAACUCUACAUGAACAGCCUAGGCCGAUUAAUUUAGGCUACAAAAUAAAUAGUCCUUUGCCUGGGAAGUAGACAUGGAAGUUAUAAUGAUCCCUGAAACAAAGGCUCAGUGGGGUCCUCCUGUGUCUCAAGGCCAACUAGCUAGUAAGUAGUACUCACAGGACCUGAACUCCUAGUCCAACAUCCUCUCCACCUAGCAGAAAGGAAAUGAAGGCAGAUGUGGAAUUCCAGAAGGAUGGAAAGAGAAGUCAACAUCGCCACAGUAAGAAAAGUGUGGAUGAGAAUGAUGUAGGAAGAGUCAGAAUGGUCUGCAUACGAGAGCCAAGAAGGUCACCUCAGGAACCCCAAGACUGAGGAAGAGAUUCCAUGGAAGCCAAAGGUACCCCAGGGCAGCACCGUUAAGGGACAGGAGAGAUCAGGAACAUGCCCUACUGGCUCUGCCUCAGAUGACCAACAAACACGGUCCAUAGUCAAAUGGAAUGGGGAGAAUAAAGGAAAAACUGCACCUCAACGAAAGCAGAAAUGAUCACAGGCAGAAUCACAGUGGGGAAAGAAGGCAAGAAGCAGGAACAAUGAAACAAAAGUCGAUGUCAGGCCUUUGUUGGGCAAUACCCACUAUUCAUAAGUAUUUGUGAUAGACGAAGAUGCCCUCAGGGAAACACUUCAACAAAAGCACAAGAUCAAACCUUGACGGGAAUGGCUGCCAGUCCCUAAUACAAACCUUUGCUUAUUUAUUUUAAAUCUCUGAGCAUCACUUACAGGAAAAAUAAACUUUCCUUCCAAAACUAAGUUUGCUUAUAUGCAUUGUCUAUUGCCUCCCCCUAGUGAUUGGAUAUGUGAAAUGCCAUAAGAAUCUAUUGGCAGAGCUGGAGAAAUUAAGUGACCGCGAUGAUGGUGAUGACAAUGACGAUGAUGAUGAUGAUGAUGCCUUUUUAUACUUGAACAGUACUGCAUGCUCCUCAAAGUGCUUUCACACAGGUAAUUUCAUGUAUCUGGAUAACUACUUUGUAAAAUAGACAAUAUGGAUUCCACUUCCAAAUCAUCUCACACUGACAUUGCUUUGGAGCCUAUUAAUCAAAAUCCGAGACAGAAAACUACCUAGGGAUUUGGAGUCAGACCUACAUUUGUAGCCUGGUGCCACCAUGCACCCCUUUGUGAUUUCGAGCCAGUGGCUUAAACCAUGAGCCUCCAUUUCCAUAUGUGUAAAAGGGGUUGAGACUGUAUAUAUCAUAGAGAUACAAUAACCACUAUAUGAAUCAUUCAGUACUGGCUUGAGCACUGUGCCUGGUGUGAGGUAAGACCUUUUAAAAUGUCAUGGUGGUGGUUGUUGUUGCUGCUGCUGCUGCUGCUGCUUGUUAAUGGCAUCUUUUAGGAGUGGUCUUUCACUUCCUCAGGAUCACAUUUAUGAUUUCUGAGCCUGCUGGGAGACAAUUCUUCCUUGUAUCUAACUGAAAAACAUGUACUUUACUUAAAUCUACUUUCAACCAGAUGCAGGAGCUUGUGCCUGUAAUCCCAGUGCUUUGGGAGGCUGAGGCAGGAGGAUCGCUUAAGGCCAGGAGUUCAAGUCUGCAGUGAACCAUGAUCACACCACUGCACUACAGCCUGGGUGACAGAGCAAGACCCUGUCUCAGAAAAAAAAAAAAAAAAUCUACUUCUCUUUCUCAAUUUUCCUUAUUUUCCAGUUAUUUUUCCCUCCUUGGCCUGGCUUAUGACCUGUCUUAGGGUUCAUUUCUAAAGCAGAAGAACCUUGGCCUGACAAGAAGUGCAAAAUUGCAGGGUGUCCUUUCCAGAUGCUCCUUCAGAUGCUAUAAAGUCUGCCUGUCCAGCCUAGGAACCCUGGGAGCUAAGUGCAAUCAGAAGAGCACAUUAGACCAGGCGUUGCUCAGAACAAUUCUCUUCCUCAAAGACUUUAUCCCUGGUGGUUAAAGAGGAACUAGUGGUCAUAAGAAAGUGUGGAAAAAUCAGAUAGGGAGCUUUUUAAGACUCUAAAUCUGGCUUAUUAUCAGUGAGCAAGCUUAUGAAGCACACAUGCACCUGAGUGCAUGCGCACACACACACACACAGAGGUUCACAGCAAUUAUGGGCUUAUGAGAUCUGCCUGGGGAUAGCGAAAAGUAAUUCCUGAAGUCAGCUACCAAAAAUAGCUCCAGCACCUGGGCUUAGCAGACGUCAGGAUGAAAAGCAAACAGCUUAUUCUUGAGCAAACACUUUUGACACAACCACAAGUCACCCAGGCAGCCCUCAUCGCAGGUGCUGGCCUGUCUCCACUUCAUGGAGGAGUCAAGAGUCUGCCACAUCCCAUUAGGCCUUAUGAAAUAAUAAGUAGGAGAGAAAGUAAAAUGGUAUUCAGGAACUACAGAAACUUCUUUAUCCUGAUGCUUCCUUCCUACUGCUGAAGAAAACACCAUCCUUGCCACCUCCAAGUGGCAGAAGUCUAUAAUUCUUUUUCCUGCAUACUAGGAAGGUCUUUCUCAAUAGUUAUGCCCUGGGAUGUGAGAUACCAGCCCACACAAUCAAGCCCGUGCAUGCCUCUCUGCAAUGAGCUUGGAGAACUCAUACUCCAGUCCCUAAAGUGCACACAGCAGACUCCAUCCAAGUGUCAGUUUCUUCAAAGCUUCCAGCCUUCCCUGUGAGCCCACACCAAGGGUGGACAAAACUGUAACAAACCAGGGACCUGCCAUGCUGACCCCACCUCAGGAGCCAGGGACACUUGGGAACCAGAGGCCUAAUUCACUGUGCUUAGCAUCGUAUUUGCACCACCAUAUUUGCACUCAACAAUAUCUGAUUGAAGGAUUCUAUUCAUGCACAUUGAAAAAAAUGAUGUCUCCAAGUCUUAGGUGAUGGUGGGUGAAAUGUACAGGACCAAGAAGAUACAGCUCUUGCGCUGGGAGAUGAACAUUCAUUGAGUACUGUCUACGUGCCAGGCAGUGUAAGAUGCUUGACCCACAUUUAUCCUAUAGUCCUCACAAUGAUCUAUGAGAAGGUGUUAGAAUCCUUGCUGGACAGGUACAAAGAUUGGGGCUGUAAAAGUUUAGGCCACUCGCUGAUGGCUACACAGCUUGAGGAACAGAACAAGAAUUUGGAACCAAAGGCUGUCUACUUAAAGGUGGUGUGAUUACAAUGCUGACAUCCUAAGAAGCAGCAAAUGUUACUGUGAGUGGGAACCUGAAAAGAUGGCUCACCUGGCUGGGACAAGCUUAGCUAAGGCAGCAUUUAAUAGGCAAGCUGUGCACCUCCUCAGUCCAGUCUGGACACCCAAAUCUUGACUGCAGUUGUCCGUUGAGGGCUACCUUAUUCAAGAACUGAAGAGGGUUCUUUAACUUUAUGAAGCCAGCACAAAGAACCAGAUAAGAAUGACCACAUUCACUCUAGGGAAUGAGGUUAAGAGCAUAGAGGUUCUAGUGUCACAUUACCUGGGUGACGCCUUGAUUAAGCCACUUAGUAGCUGUAUGAUCUUGGGCAAGUCAAUGAAUCUCUCUGGGUCUCAGUUUUCUCAUCUGUACAAUGGGAUAAAAAUGGAAUCUACUUCAUUUAGUGGAAGGUUUAAUGAGAUGAUAUCCUGAAAGUACUUAGCACAGCAGCUGAAACAUUGCAAUUAUUCAAUUCAUGGUCACCACUGUUAUUACUAUAUUCCUAUCAUUACAGUUAUCAAUCAUAAUUAUAUACAAUAAAAGAUAAAUAAUCUGUACUAGGGUGGA